GAUGAACGCUGGCGGCAUGCCUAAUACAUGCAAGUCGAACGGAUGGAUUAGUACUUGUACUAUGAAGUCAGUGGCGAACGGGUGAGUAACACAUGAACAACCACCCCUUUGACUGGGAUAACGUUUUGAAAAGAACGCUAAUACCGGAUAGGUGAUCUUAAGGCAUCUUGAGAUCAUUAAAGGUGGGCUACACCACAUUGGGAUGGGUUCAUGUCGCAUUAGUUAGUUGGCAGGGUAACGGCCUACCAAGACGAUGAUGCGUAGCCGGUCUGAGAGGAUGAACGGCCACAUUGGGACUGAGACACGGCCCAGACUCC
rnacentral:rRNA from 1 species